rnacentral:rRNA from 1 species
CUGUCCUUAGUACGAGAGGACCGGGAUGGACGUACCGCUGGUGUACCAGUUGUUCCGCCAGGAGCACGGCUGGAUAGCUACGUACGGAAGGGAUAAGCGCUGAAAGCAUCUAAGCGCGAAGCCCCCCUCAAGAUGAGAUUUCCCAAUUAGUAAGACCCCUUGUAGACGACGAGGUAGAUAGGUUCGGGGUGGAAGUGCCGCAAGGUAUGGAGCUGACGAAUACUAAUCGGUCGAGGGCUUAUCCA